UUUUUUUUUUUUUUUUUUUAGAUUUUUAUUUAUUUAUUUGAGAGAGAGAGAGAGUGCAUGAAUGCAAAAGCAGGCGGAGGGGCAGAGGGAGAGGGAGAAGCAGACUCCCCGCUGAGCAGGGAGCCCGACUUAGGGCUUGAUCCAAGGACCCUAGGAUCAUGACCUGAGCUACCCAGGCACCCCAAGACAGAUUUUAAAAGAUUCAUUUGACCCACCCUCUGGAUGUUCUCCCCACCACUGUAGUUCUUAUAGUGACAAAACAAUGCAUUAGUUGUAAGUCCUCUACACAUUUGUUGAAGUGAUUCAACCUGUGUUGAUUCCUCAUCUGGAAAACUGAGCAUAAAAAUGUUUGCCCAGAACUGGGCAAUUUCAGUGACUUACCAUAUACUACCCACCUUAAUGAAAUACCUUUUUUCACUCUCUCAGUUGUAGUGUUUUCUGGUAAGCUGCUGCUGCUGCUGUGUAACAACCAAAUCCAAAGCAUAAUAACUUAGAGUAAGAGCCAUUUUAUUAUAACUUGUAAUGCUGUGAUCAGCAGUCCAGGCAGAGUGUGGCCUGGUGAUUCUUCCGUUCUCUACAGUGUCCACAGAGAUCAUUCGGUAGUACUCAGCUGGCUGAUAGGCUAGCACAGAGAGUCCAAGAUGGCCUUGCUUAUAUGUCCAGUACCUUGGAAGGCUGGGUUCAGAGAGUUGUCAAGGGGAGAAUCACUUGAGGCCUCUCCAGCAUGGCAGGCUCAGGAUAAUUACAUUCCUUUCACGAAGGCUCUAGUCUCCAAAGUUCCAGUGACGAAAGUAGAUGUUUCAUGUCCUUUUAUGACCUAGCCUUGGAAAUCAUAUGGAGUCAUUUUCACCAUAGUUAUGGACCGCCUCUCUCAAUGGGAAGAGGGUCAGAGCAUUUUGGAUGUUUUAAAACCAGCCUACAGGGGAUCCCUGAGUGGCUCAGCAGUUUAGCACCUGCCUUCUGCCCAGGGCGUGAUCCCGGAGUCCCGGGAUCAAGUCCCACUUUGGGAUCUCUGCAUAGAGCCUGCUUUUCCCUCUGCCUCUCUCUCUCUCUCUCUCUCUCUCUCUCUCUCUCUCUCAUGAAUAAAUAAAUAAAUAAAAUACUAAAAAAAAUAAAAGCAGCCCACAGUGUUAACCAUCUUCUGUUGCUCAUUAUGGGUUGGAAGUUCUACAAACUAAGAGCAAGUCUUUCAGGGAGAUAAGACGACAUUCACCUAGCACACCACAGCCCAGUCUGAAUAUUUUUUAUAGUUUUCCAGGUGGAAGAAAUACACGAUAAGCUAAAUCCCUGAAAAAUCUGUGUGAUGGGUAAGUUGGUUCCUGAAAAUAGGCCCCACCAAGAUGGGUAGCAGUUGUCCCAUGCUCAGUCCAAGACUCAGAUGUUGGUGUUUGGUUGGGUUUUUUUUUAAAGAUUUUUAUUUAUUUAUUCAUGAAAGACACAUAGAGAGAGCAAAGACAUAGGCAGAGGGAGAAGCAGGCUCCCUGCUGGAAAGCCUGAUGUAGGACUCAAUCCCAGGAUCCUAGGGUCACAACCUGAGCUGAAGGCAGAUGUUCAAUCACUGAGCCACCCAGGUGCCCCAGAUGUUGGUGUAUAAUUCCAUCUCUGGCCUCACUCUAUCCUUUUAUCUGCUUUGUAUCAAGCUCAGAAAAGAGCCAGAAACUCUGGGUGAGAGUUCAUGAAAACAGAGCAUGUCUACUCAACUCAAAAGAUCAGAAUUCUUGGGAUACCUGGGUGGCUCAGCAGUUGAGCAUCUAUCUGCCUUCUGCCCAGGGGAUGAUCCUGGGUCUAGGGAUUGAGUCCCACAUUGGGCUCCCUGUGAGAAGCCUGCUUCUGUCUAUGUCUCUGCCUCUCUCUUGUAUCUCUCAUGAAUAAAUAAAAUCUUAAAAAAAAAAGAUCAGAAUUCUUAACAUCAUAGAAAUCAUAAUGCCCAAGCAUGGUUCCUUUUUUCUCUCUCUUCCUUUAAUUUUUUUUUUUUGUGUGUGACUUCUUUGUUUUUCCCAUUCAUUUUUCCUUUCAUUCAACAAUAUUUAUUGAACUACUGACAAGUUCUGAGCCCACAGUCUAGAAUUGGUAACAGAUAGUCACAUCAUCUUAAUGACCAAUGUAUCAUUGCAAACUAAGAUCAAUGCUCUGCAGCAAGGAUCAACAAACUCUUGCAUAAAGGGCCAGAUAGUCAGUAUUUUAGGUUAUGUGGGCCAUAUGGUCUCAGUUGCAACCACUCAGCUCUGCCAUUGUAGCAAGAAAACAGCCAUGAACGUUACUCACAGUAGCCAAGACAUGGAAACAGCAAAAGUGUGCAUCAAUGGAUGAAUGGAUAAAGAAAAUAUGGUGUGUAUAUCCCACAUAUGUAUAGUACACACACACACACACACACACACACACAAUACAGUAGCAUAGUACUCAACCUUUAAAAAGAAGGAAAGUUUGUCAUUUGCAACAAUAAGGAGGAAUCUGGAGGACAUUAUGCGAAGUAAAAUAAGCCAGACACAGAAAAAUAAAGACUGCACAAUCUCAUUUAUAUCUAUAAUCUUUAAAAAAAAGCCUAAAAAACAAAAAAGGUCAAACUCAUAGUAACAGAGAGCAGAAUGAUGGUUACCAGAGACCAGGAGAUAGGAGAAAAGCAGAUAUUGGUCAGAGUACAAACUUUGAGUUAGAAUAUGAAUAAGUUCUGGAGCUUUAAUGGACAGCAUGAUGACUACAGUUAAUAAUAAUACUUGAAAUCUGCUAAGAGAGUGGAUCUUAAGUAUUUUCACCACACACACACACACACACACACGCAUACACAAGAUUGACUCUGAGAUGAUAGGUAGGCUAAUUAGCUUGGUUGUGGUGAUCAUUUCACAAUGUAUACAUCUAUCAAAACAUCAUGCUGUGAACCUAAGUAUAUAUGGUUUUUCACACCUCAGUAAAGCUGGAAAAAAUUUAAAAUAAGAAAACAGCUAUAGACAAUACAUAAAAAAUGAAUGUGGCCUUGUACACAUAAAACUUUAUUUGUAAAAACAGGGGGGAGGUCCAGAUUUGGUUCUAGGGCUGUAGUUUAUUUACCUCUACUUCUAAAGGUAAGAAACAUUGUUCUCUGAAGAUGUAUUACAAAGACAUUUGAUCUGCUUUAAUAUAUGGAGAAAAUGUGGGGGUUGUCUUUCUCUGAGAAAGUAACUUUUGAAUCACUAGGUACUAACCAGGUGAAGGAGUGCUUGAAGAGUGGCAUCAUGUGUUGGAAGAACUUUAAAAAGCUCAGUUUGGACAGAGGGAAGAAAGCUGGAGAGAAAUUAGCAAGACAUGAGAUUGGGAAGAGGUUAACCGUGGCAAAAUCAUGGCCAGUCUUGGUGAUCCUGGUAAAAUUUGGGGGGUUUUGAUCUCAAAGCAAUGGAAAGUCAGUGAAGGAUUUUAAAAGUUUUUUUUUUAAGGAUUUAUAAGUAAUUUUCUUUUUUCUCAACUAAGUCACUAUUGACCUAUCUGAAUGAGCUGAGCUUGCAUUUUCUCACAAGGAAUUAAUUUGCUAAAGAAGAGAAUGUGAUAGUAAUGCUACAGAGUUUAGGUGUUGCAUUUUGGUGGUCUUUACAACCUUGGAGCAUGGUCAUAGAAAUAAAAUCACACAUUCCAAGGGAUCAAAGAGGAUAAUGCAUGGAAAAGUACUUUUUCGAAGUAUUAAAAUGUUAUUCAAAUGAAAGGUCUUAUUAUUAUUCAAGGUUGGUACUCCAGAGGGAUUCCUUGCAUAAUUAACUAAUUGGUCUCACAUUUCUCACCAUGGAUUUUUAUUUAAAAAAAAAAAAA
rnacentral:lncRNA from 1 species